AACUAAAGAAUUUGAGAAAUACAAACCCUUGGUUGAAAAAUUUACAUAUAGUUCUGAAAAAUUAAAUAUGAUACUUAAUAGUCAACGAGCUGUAUUCAAUAGAGCAGGUCUAGGAUACAAACCUAAAAACAAGCAAAAACUUCUUAGUAACUUCUUUGUUAAAGCAGGAGAAAGUAAAAUUAAGAAAAUAACCUGUUUUUGUUGUGGAACUGUAGGACAUAAAGCAAAUGUAUGUGACUAUAGGAAAGGAAAAAGUAAAAGAAAAAUCAAAAGGGUAUGGGUUCCAAAAGGAACCAACAUGACUAACCAUGAAGGACCCAAGAAAA
rnacentral:lncRNA from 1 species